GACGGAGGAUGCAAGUGUUAUCCGGAAUCACUGGGCGUAAAGAGCUCGUAGGCGGUUUGUCGCGUCUGCUGUGAAAGACCGGGGCUCAACUCCGGUUCUGCAGUGGGUACGGGCAGACUAGAGUGCAGUAGGGGAGACUGGAAUUCCUGGUGUAGCGGUGAAAUGCGCAGAUAUCAGGAGGAACACCGAUGGCGAAGGCAGGUCUCUGGGCUGUAACUGACGCUGAGGAGCGAAAGCAUGGGGAGCGAACAGGG
rnacentral:rRNA from 1 species